GUUGAAACACCAGUUGUCGUACGAUCACCGAUGUUAAGCAACAUUGUGCCUGGUCAGUACCUAGAUAGGUUACCACCUUGGAAUACCAGUUGCUGUAUG